GAAAUGCGAUAAGUAGUGUGAAUUGCAGAAUUCAGUGAAUCAUCGAAUCUUUCAACGCACAUUGCGCCCCUCGGUAUUCCGUGGGGCAUGCCUGUUCGAGCGUCAUCUACACCCUCAAGCUCUGCUUGGUGUUGGGCGUCUGUCCCGCCUCCUUCGCGCGCGGACUCGCCCCAAAUCCAUUGGCGGCGGCCCUUGCCUCCCUCUCGCGCAGCACAUUGCGCUUCUCGAGGCGCGGCGGACCGCGUCCAGCAAGCAACCGUCACACCGUCUUUGACCUCGGAUCAGGUAGGGAUACCCGCUGAACUUAAGC
rnacentral:misc_RNA from 1 species